rnacentral:rRNA from 1 species
GAUGAACGCUGGCGGCGUGCCUAAUACAUGCAAGUCGAGCGAACGGACGAGAAAUUUGUCUCUUUUAUGUUAGCGGCGGACGGGUGAGUAACUCGUGGGUAACGUACCUAUAAAUUUGGGAGGACUACGGGAAAGCGGUGCUUACUCCUGAUGAUUUUGUGAUCCAUAUGGUUUGAAAAUAAAAGACGGUGUGGCUGUCGCUAAUAGAUGGAUUUGCGCUUGAUUAGCUAGUUGGUAAGGUAACGGCUUACCAAGGCAACGAUGCAUAGCCGAACUGAGAGGGUGAUCGGCCACCCUGGAAGUGGGACACGGUCCAGACUCCUACGGGAGGCAGCAGUUGGGAAUCUUCCGCAAUGGGCGGAAGCCUGACGGAGCAACGCCACGUGAGUGAUACAGGUCUUCGGAUCGUAAAGCUCUGUUAUUAGGGAAGAACAUAUGUGUAAGUUUAUGUAAACAUAUUGACGGUACCUAAUCAGAAAGCCACGGCUAACUACGUG